rnacentral:rRNA from 1 species
AACGAACGCUGGCGGCAUGCCUAACACAUGCAAGUCGAACGAGACCUUCGGGUCUAGUGGCGCACGGGUGCGUAACGCGUGGGAACCUGCCCUUAGGUUCGGAAUAACUCCCCGAAAGGGGUGCUAAUACCGGAUAAUGUCUUCGGACCAAAGAUUUAUCGCCUUUGGAUGGGCCCGCGUUGGAUUAGCUAGUUGGUAGGGUAAAAGCAACCAAGGCGACGAUCCAUAGCUGGUCUGAGAGGAUGAUCAGCCACACUGGGACUGAGACACGGCCCAGACUCCUACGGGAGGCAGCAGUGGGGAAUAUUGGACAAUGGGCGAAAGCCUGAUCCAGCAAUGCCGCGUGAGUGAUGAAGGCCUUAGGGUUGUAAAGCUCUUUUACCCGGGAUGAUAAUGACAGUACCGGGAGAAUAAGCUCCGGCUAACUCCGUG